UGGGGAAUUUUGGACAAUGGGCGCAAGCCUGAUCCAGCCAUGCCGCGUGCAGGAUGAAGGCCUUCGGGUUGUAAACUGCUUUUGUACGGAACGAAAAGGUGCCUUCUAAUAAAGGGCGCUCAUGACGGUACCGUAAGAAUAAGCACCGGCUAACUACGUGCCAGCAGCCGCGGUAAUACGUAGGGUGCGAGCGUUAAUCGGAAUUACUGGGCGUAAAGCGUGCGCAGGCGGUUUUGUAAGACAGAGGUGAAAUCCCCGGGCUCAACCUGGGAACUGCCUUUGUGACUGCAAGGCUGGAGUACGGCAGAGGGGGAUGGAAUUCCGCGUGUAGCAGUGAAAUGCGUAGAUAUGCGGAGGAACACCGAUGGCGAAGGCAGUCCCCUGGGCCUGUACUGACGCUCAUGCACGAAAGCGUGGGGAGCAAACA
rnacentral:rRNA from 1 species